rnacentral:rRNA from 1 species
CCUGUUUAUCAAAAACAUGGCUCUUUGUUAAUAUAAUAUAAGGAGUCGGACCUGCCCAGGGAUAAGAAUUUAACGGCCGCGGUACUCUGACCGUGCAAAGGUAGCAUAAUCAUUUGCCCUAUAAUUGAGGGCUGGAAUGAAUGGUUUGACAAGAGUAAUACUGUCUCUUUAAGAUUUCCCAAAAUUUAAUUUCUAGGUCAAGAAUCCUAGAUAAAAUUAAAAGACAAGAAGACCCUAUCGAGCUUUAAAAAAGAGCAUGAAAUAAAAUUAAUAUAUUAUUAUAUUUAAUGUCAUCUGAUAUUUUGGUUGGGGCGACUAAGGAACAUUUAAAGCUUCUUAUUUUAUUUUAAAACUGAUAAGUUUUGAUCCAGUUAAAUUUACUGAUUAAAAAAAUUAGUUACCGUAGGGAUAACAGCAUAAUCUCUCUUAAGAGCUCAUAUCGAAAGAGAGGUUUGUGACCUCGAUGUUGGACUAGAAUAUCCUAAAGAUGCAGAAGU